ACGAACGCUGGCGGCGUGCCUAAUACAUGCAAGUAGAACGCUGAAGGAGGAGCUUGCUUCUCUGGAUGAGUUGCGAACGGGUGAGUAACGCGUAGGUAACCUGCCUGGUAGCGGGGGAUAACUAUUGGAAACGAUAGCUAAUACCGCAUAAGAGUAGAUGUUGCAUGACAUAUGCUUAAAAGGUGCAAUUGCAUCACUACCAGAUGGACCUGCGUUGUAUUAGCUAGUUGGUGAGGUAACGGCUCACCAAGGCAACGAUACAUAGCCGACCUGAGAGGGUGAUCGGCCUCACUGGGAUGAGACACGGCCCAGACUCCUACGGGAGGCAGCAGUAGGGAAUCUUCGGCAAUGGACGGAAGUCUGACCGAGCAACGCCGCGUGAGUGAAGAAGGUUUUCGGAUCGUAAAGCUCUGUUGUAAGAGAAGAACGAGUGUGAGACGUGGAAAGUUCACACC
rnacentral:rRNA from 1 species